CUUGAAUGAGGGCUAACCUGACAUAGGGCUGGAUUUAACCUUUAACCAUUAACCUUUCACCGCCGUGCCAAAAAUCCCUCCUCAAUGGGGUUAAGGAAUGGAAGAGUAUGGUGGGAGGUAUUGGAGUGAAAAUGAUGGAUGCUGAUGAAACCAGUUUUAGACCAGAGCAGAUUGGUGGAAAGGUACAUUGUCCCAGAUGACAAUUUAUCUUAUCUGCUCUGCAUUCAUUUGGUCUUCUGCUGUGAAAAUGUUGUGUAGUUUGUCUGAGAAUUUCUUUGAAAUGGCACUCGGUUGUUUCAUCUGUAUGUGUUGUUUUUUAGGCACUCACCCCAGUGUUGUCAGGUAGACCUGAUGGACAUUAUUGAAAACUGUUGCAAUAGUUUAUCUGCUGAGGUUGGGCUGAACUCUCUUUCCAGCCUCUCUGAAUGUCAUCUCAUGGUUUACAACAUGGUCUACGUCCUCCUCCGGGUCUACCUCUUCCUCUCUAUACCCCUCUUCCUCCAUGGGCUCCCUCUAUCUCUUCCUGUAACAUUGCCUUCCAAUUUUGUUGAAGACAGAUAAACUCAACUGUUGCCUUUUUAUAGUGUUUAAGCUUGAUGGGUGAGUUUAAAAUUAAGCACCCACAGUUAGUGUCUGUACACCUGACUGCCGUGCUUGAUCAAUUGGUUCAUAGGUGUGGUAUUUUGAAAGGCAGUGCUUGGAAGUGGCAAAGUGACAUCAUGUUAGAUUUCUGUGUCUAAGGUAGAGAACUGUGUUUAGUGUUUUGCAAAACACUGUCAUGUAUUGCCAAAAGUGUGAGGCUGAAAAUAUGCUCAUAGUCGUGAAGAUCUGGUCUGAGGUUUUGCUUCUUGAGUGUCAGUUUUCAACUGUUUGUUAUUUAAAAUUUUAGUGUGUAAGCAAUCGUAUAAAACUGAAAAUGUCUGCAAUAUUUUCAUUGUCAGUUUUUGUUGUUCAUAAUCUGGAAGGCACCUAUGAUUUGGCUGCCAUAUUGCUUGGCUUUGUUCUAGGCAAUUAGCUUCUCUGUAAAAUAAAUUUCUCUAAAUUAAUCUGCAAGUUAAUUUGACAAUUUUCAGAAAACAAAUUAUACUUACAAAUUAGAAAUAUUCUCUUUCAUUUUCAUGUGUCUCAUGGUUAUGAUCCAUUCUUUUCUCUUACAGUGAUGCUCCAGAGCGUUGUUCUGCCAGCAGUUAGUGAUGAAGGGAUGCCCCUUCAUAAAGGGAUACGAGCUUUGUCUUUAGCAUCCUCAGUUUUUGAUAUGUGAUGUUCUGCAUCCUUUUGUUUAUAUUUAUUUUAUAUGUUAUGAAUGCCGUUUGUACAGUAUGUUUUACAAUAUGCUUAAGAUCCUGAACUGCAUUUUCAACAUUGACUCUGGACUAGUAAUGCAAGUCAUCAGAUCUGGGCUAACUAAGAUUAAGGGCCUAGCUGUACCUGCACACAGAAGAGGAUGUAGGCAGUAUGAGCUCUGUUUCUCAGCACAGUGGCCACAUCUGUCCUCCGGACACGUGCAUCAUCCAGACAGAGCCACUCACUGCCAUGGCUGUCCAAGAGAUCAGAGAUAUAGUGGCCUGGAGAAUAGGGGACAUGAAAACAUUUCAUAUUAGAGACAUUACACUCUUAAAUGUUUGUGAGCAAGAUGUGCUUGUUUUACCAUUGAAUACAGAUCUUCACAGCUGAUAUUCACAACCUGAAUAAACAUGUCUACUUAAUAUCAAA
ensembl:lncRNA